GAGCUGGGAACUGAGGAAUGAGCUUUGGUGAGCACCUACCUGUACACUAAUUUUGUCAUUGUACUCAUCGCUAACUCUUACCUUACUAAUAGUACCUCUGUACAUGGCCUUUACUGCUUUCACAAGCUAUUCAUCUAUCCAUAGCUUCCUCAGAGACUACUAUAUCAUAGAAUAAUGUUCUCUGUUGAAGGCUUUCUCCAGAUCAACAAAUGCCAAGUACACUGAUUUAUUUUUAAUUAAAUACUUCACUUGUAAUUGUUUGAAUAUGAAAAUAACAUUAGUGGUGUUUCUCCCCAGCACAAACCAUUUCAGUUAUCUGUCUGUUUAUCUAUGUAUGUAUAUAUAUAUAUAUAUAUAUAUAUAUAUAUAUAUAUAUGUAAGAAUUAAAAUAAAAACUCUUCUCAACAUAAACAUAACGAUAGCUCUUCUCAACGUAAACAUAACGAUGUAAGAAAUUUGAAAAGCUGAACGCGAAACCGGCCAUUUCUUCUAAACUAUGUCAUUGUAAGAAAAAAAUUUAUAACAUUCUUCAGACAUAUUGACUCAAAUAUAUAUUUUUUAACCUUUUAAAACAAGCCUUCUGUAGUUUUUUCACUUUUUACUAUUUUCUAUAUAUUCAACCACGUGCUUUCACAAACCAACUUUCUCAUCUAUAUAUAUAUAUAUAUAUAUAUAUAUAUAUAUAUAUAUAUAUAUAUAUGUAUAUAUGUAUAUAUAUAUAUAUAUAUAUAUGUAUAUAUAUAUAUAUAUGUAUGUAUAUGUUUCUUUCAGUUUUCUUCUACCAAAUCCAUCCACAAGUCUUUGGAUAUCCCAGGAGACACUUGCUAAAGAUGCUGUGCUGUAGGACUGAACCUGAAAUCAUAUGGUUGCUAAGUGGGUUUGUUAACCAUAUAUAUAUAUCCAUAAAAAAAACUUUGCUGUGAUUGGUAGUUACAAGAAUGUAAACAUCCCUUCUAUGCUUUUGAUGAACAGAAAGAAAAGAGAAGUGAGUGACCUCUGGCAGGUCAUUUUGCAGUAUGCUCGAGUGUACAUCAGAGAAGGCAUAUAGAUUUUUUUUUUUCUCGGUCAACA
rnacentral:lncRNA from 1 species